CGCGAAUGGCUCAUUAUAACAGCUAUAAUUUACUUGAUCUUGACACAAUCCUACUUGGAUAACUGUGGUAAUUCUAGAGCUAAUACAUGCAUUAAAGCUCUGACCUCACGGGAAGAGUGCAUUUAUUAGAACAAAACCAAGCGGCUUCGGCUGUUUCUGGUUGACUCAUAGUAACUGAGCUGAUCGCAUGGUCUUGCACCGGCGACGUGUCUUUCAAGUAUCUGCCGUAUCAACUUUCGAUGGUAGUGUAUCUGACUACCAUGGUGAUCACGCGUAACGGAGAAUAAGGGUUCGGCUCCGGAGAGUUCGCCUGAGAAAUCGCGAACACAUCUAAGGAAGGCAGCAGGCGCGAAAAUUACCCACUCUCAGCACGAGGAGGUAGUGACGAAAAAUAACGAGACCGUUCUCUUAUGAGGCCGGUCAUCGGAAUGGGUACAAUUUAAACCCUUUAACGAGUAUCUAUGAGAGGGCAAGUCUGGUGCCAGCAGCCGCGGUAAUUCCAGC
rnacentral:rRNA from 1 species